rnacentral:rRNA from 1 species
AACGAACGCUGGCGGCAUGCCUAACACAUGCAAGUCGAACGAAGUCCUUCGGGGCUUAGUGGCGCACGGGUGCGUAACGCGUGGGAAUCUGCCCUUGGGUUCGGAAUAACAGUUAGAAAUGACUGCUAAUACCGGAUGAUGACGAAAGUCCAAAGAUUUAUCGCCCAGGGAUGAGCCCGCGUAGGAUUAGGUAGUUGGUGGGGUAAAGGCCUACCAAGCCGACGAUCCUUAGCUGGUCUGAGAGGAUGAUCAGCCACACUGGGACUGAGACACGGCCCAGACUCCUACGGGAGGCAGCAGUGGGGAAUAUUGGACAAUGGGGGAAACCCUGAUCCAGCAAUGCCGCGUGAGUGAUGAAGGCCUUAGGGUUGUAAAGCUCUUUUACCAGGGAUGAUAAUGACAGUACCUGGAGAAUAAGCUCCGGCUAACUCCGUGCCAGCAGCCGCGGUAAUACGGAGGGAGCUAGCGUUGUUCGGAAUUACUGGGCGUAAAGCGCACGUAGGCGGUUAUUCAAGUCAGAGGUGAAAGCCCGGGGCUCAAUCCCCGGAACAGCCUUUGAAACUAGAUAACUAGAAUUCUGGAGAGGUCAGUGGAAUUCCGAGUGUAGAGGUGAAAUUCGUAGAUAUUCUGAAGAACA